UGCGUUGAACCUUUUGUAGGUCGCAAGUAAGCCAGAGGGCUGAAGCAACGGGAA
rnacentral:ncRNA from 10 species